rnacentral:rRNA from 1 species
CCUACGGGAGGCAGCAGUGGGGAAUAUUGCACAAUGGGGGAAACCCUGAUGCAGCGACGCCGCGUGAGUGAAGAAGUAAUUCGUUACGUAAAGCUCUAUCAGCAGGGAAGAAAAUGACGGUACCUGAGGAAGAAGCCCCGGCUAACUACGUGCCAGCAGCCGCGGUAAUACGUAGGGGGCAAGCGUUAUCCGGAUUUACUGGGUGUAAAGGGGGCGUAGACGGCAGUGCAAGUCUGGAGUGAAAGGCCGGGGCUCAACCCCCGGACUGCUCUGGAAACUGUACGGCUGGAGUGCAGGAGAGGUAAGUGGAAUUCCUGGUGUAGCGGUGAAAUGCGUAGAUAUCAGGAGGAACACCAGUGGCGAAGGCGGCUUACUGGACUGCAACUGACGUUGAGGCUCGAAAGCGUGGGGAGCAAACAGGAUUAGAUACCCUGGUAGUC